AUUGAACGCUGGCGGCAGGCUUAACACAUGCAAGUCGAGCGAGCGGCGGACGGGUGAGUAAUGUCUGGGAAACUGCCUGAUGGAGGGGGAUAACUACUGGAAACGGUAGCUAAUACCGCAUACCAUCAGAUGUGCCCAGAUGGGAUUAGCUAGUAGGUGGGGUAAUGGCUCACCUAGGCGACGAUCCCUAGCUGGUCUGAGAGGAUGACCAGCCACACUGGAAAGGAGACACGGUCCAGACUCCUACGGGAGGCAGCAGUGGGGAAUAUUGAACAAGGGGCGCAAGCCUGAUGCAGCCAUGCCGCGUGUAUGAAGAAGGCCUUCGGGUUGUAAAGUACUUUCAGCGAGGAGGGGGUAUUCGCAGAAGAAGCACCGGCUAACUCAGUGCCAGCAGCCGCGGUAAUAC
rnacentral:rRNA from 1 species